rnacentral:rRNA from 1 species
UCUGCAACUCGACUACAUGAAGCUGGAAUCGCUAGUAAUCGCGAAUCAGCAUGUCGCGGUGAAUACGUUCCCGGGUCUUGUACACACCGCCCGUCACACCAUGGGAGUCAGCAACGCCCGAAGUCAGUGACCUAACCGAAAGGGAGGAGCUGCCGAAGGCGGGGCCGGUAACUGGGGUGAAGUCGUAACAAGGUACC